AGAGUUUGAUUCUGGCUCAGGAUGAACGCUAGCGAUAGGCCUAACACAUGCAAGUCGAGGGGCAGCACAUGGAGUAGCAAUACGGAUGGUGGCGACCGGCGCACGGGUGAGUAACGCGUAUGCAACCUGCCUACAACAGGGGAAUAACCCGUUGAAAGACGGACUAAUACCCCAUAACACAGGGAUCCCGCAUGGGAAUAUUUGUUAAAGAUUUAUCGGUUGUAGAUGGGCAUGCGUUCCAUUAGCUUGUUGGUGAGGUAACGGCUCACCAAGGCAACGAUGGAUAGGGGAACUGAGAGGUUUAUCCCCCACACUGGUACUGAGACACGGACCAGACUCCUACGGGAGGCAGCAGUGAGGAAUAUUGGUCAAUGGACGCAAGUCUGAACCAGCCACGUCGCGUGAAGGAAGACGGCCCUACGGGUUGUAAACUUCUUUUGUAAGGGAAUAAAGUGUAGUACGUGUACUAUUUUGCAUGUACCUUACGAAUAAGGAUCGGCUAACUCCGUGCCAGCAGCCGCGGUAAUACGGAGGAUCCGAGCGUUAUCCGGAUUUAUUGGGUUUAAAGGGUGCGCAGGCGGGAGAUUAAGUCGGCGGUGAAAUUUUGCAGCUCAACUGUAAAAGUGCCUUCGAAACUGGUUUUCUUGAGUGUGGAUGAAGUAGGCGGAAUUUGUGGUGUAGCGGUGAAAUGCAUAGAUAUCACGAGGAACUCCGAUUGCGCAGGCAGCUUACUAAACCAUAACUGACGCUCAGGCACGAAAGCGUGGGGAUCAAACAGGAUUAGAUACCCUGGUAGUC
rnacentral:rRNA from 1 species